rnacentral:RNase_P_RNA from 1 species
GAUGGCAGAUGGUCGCUGGUGAAUCGCAAGAUUCGCUGGAGGAAAGUCCGAACACCAUACGGCAGCAUGCCACGUAGAAGACGUGGGCAGCGUUCUCGAAAGCGGACGUUGACGGAAAGUGUCACAGAAAAGACACCGCCGGUUCUUUGAAAGAGGCGCAGGCAAGGGUGAAAAGGCGAGGUAAGAGCUCACCGCUCGCGGAGUAAUUCGCGAGGCACGAAAAACCCCAUGCGGUGCAAGACAAAACAGAGGGAGGACAGCCGGUCCGUUACGAUCCUCGGGUAUCGUCGCAUCACGACGACUGUAGCGGCGGUCUAUGACCGCCGAUCGCGGUUCUCGGGCGGUUCCGUGAAAGCGGGAUUGAGAUAAAUGAUCAUCCGCGUGAGCAAUCACGUUGACAGAAUUCGGCUUACCGCCAUCUAAA